ensembl:snoRNA SNORD58 Small nucleolar RNA SNORD58
CUGCUGUGAUGACCAUCUUAGGACACCUUUGGAUUAAAGAUGAAAACAAUCAUUGAAUGAUCUGAGCUGC